UACGAAGGGGGCUAGCGUUGCUCGGAAUUACUGGGCGUAAAGGGCGCGUAGGCGGAUAGCUUAGUCAGAGGUGAAAGCCCAGGGCUCAACCUUGGAAUUGCCUUUGAUACUGGCUGUCUUGAGUUCGGGAGAGGUGAGUGGAAUGCCGAGUGUAGAGGUGAAAUUCGUAGAUAUUCGGCGGAACACCAGUGGCGAAGGCGACUCACUGGCCCGAUACUGACGCUGAAACACGAAAGCGUGGGGAGCAAACAGG
rnacentral:rRNA from 1 species